rnacentral:rRNA from 1 species
AUUGAACGCUGGCGGCAUGCCUUACACAUGCAAGUCGAACGGCAGCACGGGUGCUUGCACCUGGUGGCGAGUGGCGAACGGGUGAGUAAUACAUCGGAACGUACCUUAUCGUGGGGGAUAACGCAGCGAAAGCUGUGCUAAUACCGCAUACGCCCUGAGGGGGCAAGCGGGGGAUCGCAAGACCUCGCGCGAUUAGAGCGGGCGAUGCCUGCUUAGCUUGUUGGUGGGGUAAAAGCCCACCAAGGCGACGAUCAGUAGCUGGUCUGAGAGGACGAUCAACCACACUGGGACUGAGACACGGCCCAGACUCCUACGGGAGGCAGCAGUGGGGAAUUUUGGACAAUGGGGGCAACCCUGAUCCAGCAAUGCCGCGUGAGUGAAGAAGGCCUUCGGGUUGUAAAGCUCUUUUGUCAGGGAAGAAACACCGGCUCUAACACAGUCUGGGAAUGACGGUACCUGAAGAAUAAGCACCGGCUAACUACGUGCCAGCAGCCGCAGUAA